CGUCUCUUAUCCUGUCGUUCUUGGGCAGGAGGCCUCGGCAGGAAGACUCGGGGUGGUCUCAGGCGCGACGCGGAGCUGGCCGGAGCGCACGGACAUCUGCGGCGGCCGCCGCCCUCCCUGCUCCCGCUGCUACCCUCCCCGCUCCCCAACGCUACCUCGCUCUGCCCUUGCUGCGGUUGCUGCAGGAGCUUCUUCACUCGAUGCUCGCCGGCACAGCUCGUGGAUGCCCGAUGCUUGCUUCUCGUCAGCUCCCAUUGCGGUGCCGGAGGGCAGCUCUUCUCGGCAGGCGGGGGGUGCAGCGUGACCCACCGUGGGAUGGCGUCAUGGAGCUUGUAGAUGGAGGCGGAGCAGCCGAGCCAUCUUCUGCACGUCUUGGAUGUGUCAUCUGCCGACAACGGCACCGGCUAUGAAGGGGCGGCGCGCUGGUUGUGCUGGUGCUGCGCCGCAUAGCUGUUCCGGCAGGAGAAGAGGCUCCUGAGACAUGGCAGGAGCUGGGGACGCCGAUUCAGAGGCGGGCGGCAACCCCGGGGUCGCCAGUGACGUUGAGGAAGGCCGGGGCCUGGCUUCCUGGGUGGAUACAUGGCAUCUGCGGCUCCUGGGCAAAAAGAAGAAUAGAGGUGAGGGAGAGAAAAAGGGAGAAAGGAGGGGAGGUGCGGCGUCCUAGGCGGGAGCUCGCCGAAGCGGGGCGACGGUGGGCGGGCACGGGAGACGGAGGGAUUUAGAGUCGGCCGGUCGAGCAACACCAAGCAGGCCAUGGGUGGCGUACACUUUUAGUAGAAAAUGGACCACAACGAUGAACCAACUACUAUUCAGGAUUUUGAUAACCGGCCUUAACAAAAAACAUUCUGAAUUGAGUGUAUUGGAUUCAGAUAAACUGAUAGAUGAUGAUGAAUUUCCAUCACCAACUAUUUCAACAUCAUCUCUAGUCUUCAGAACCAGAUAGACACAUGAACCUCUGCCACCACUGUUGAGCAGUACCUCAGGUGAACUAUCAGCACUACCUGUCAUCCAACAAUAACAAGCUCAAGUGUUGUAUAUGUAUCCUCUUAAUGUACUCACAACCUCUGGCUCACAACAGUGCACUUGCACACACAUAAGCAACAGAUUCAGCUUCUUCUUCCUCACGACAGUGGUGGUGGUGGAGCUUUUAGCACCGGCCGAUCUGCUCGGUUCCACCAUUGCCAUCCUCUGAAUCAAGUGAUCUGUUGGAUUUCUAUAGCAAAUUCUAUUAGUUUUUACGUCUGCCAGUUGUCUGAGAGCAACAAUUGCGAGAGAGAUAUCAGGGAAAAGGGGCGCCAGCUACCAGCUCACCACAUUGAGUGGCCAACGAGGACGGAAAGACACACACGAUUGUCGGCUCCGUCGUGAUGUGAUCCCUCGGUUAUAUGGAUGAAGCUGUUGGCGGCUUUGAUUUACAGCGCCCCAGUCGGCUGGGAUACAGGGAUGAGAAGUCCAACAUGUGUCUUUGCCAAUGGCAAUCACGGGGGAAGAAUGUUAGGGACGAGAUGAAUUCAAACACACAACGGUCAUAGCCAGCAGGAGGUUGCGUUUGGACGUGGGUGGGCUUGGUUCCUACAAGAGGUGGAAGACGGCCGUGACUAGGCAGCCGGGUUUAACAUCGCAACUCGAUGCCGACAUGGACGGCGGGCUGCUCCUCUUCUUUUACCGUGCUGGGUCUUACCUCCCGCCCCCUCUCCUCAACUAAGCUGUGGAAGAACCGCAUCCAAUUUGAUAGCAUGCAUUCAGUUGUGAAGUGUGCAGUGCUGUGGAGGAAAUUGUCCUGCCCCAUGCUGAUCAGCGCGCCAUAACAUGUAACUGAUUCCGUCCUCCUCACCUUUGAGCCUCUUAAUCACUACUGUUGGCUGUGCAUUGUUCCGAUUUAUCAGCUAUGAUUUGGUCUUGGUGCUUCUUAACCACUACUGUUGGUUGUGCAUUGUUCUGAUUUAUCAGCUAUGAUUUGGCCUUACUGCUUCUUAAUCACUACUGGUGGCUGCUCUUUGAUCAAAUUUCUUAUCUGUGAUCUGAUAGAUAAAAGUAGUUGGUCGGAGUAUAGGAAUAUAAUCCUUCAUGUGAGAAGGAAGAAAGCCAUGUGCGAUACAACAUAAAAAAAAAUCUUCAAUAGACACAGAGAUCACAGCAAGGGAACGGAAGUACAUCAUCACUUUACAGGUUCACCGUAAGCAUGUUCAGUACAUGUUCACGGUAUGUACCCCUGCUCUUCCCUAAUUACUUUCAUCAUAUAUCACAUUUCUGUUUAGUGCAGAUAAGCUGCUUGAUGAUAUCUAUAGGGCCAAACAGUUUAUGCUUUCCCUUCCCAGCUACAACAUAUAGCAAUUGUUUCACCUGAAAUAAUAAAAAGUAAGAUGAUUCCUGGAGUUUGUAACACAAUGUUUUACUGAAGCGUAUUUUUUGUUCUUCACACAAUUUCCCUUUUAAUUCUACGGAAAUAGUUUUACGAACACCGACCACCUGUACGUGCAAGUUGGUCUCAAGAAGCCUAAUUAACCAUUAUCAUCCUUCACUAUUUUCCUAAAGGCUAAAGCCUUGGAGUUAGUUGGCCCCUUAUUAGUAUGAUUAAAUGUUAGGUUCAAAAUUCUGUGCUAUCCAAAAAUGUAGGCCAUUUUAGCAUUUUGACCAGCAACAAAUUUCUAAGCUUGCCAUCUCUAAUUAAAUAAUUACUGCUAGCAUCCACAACAUGAGAUUGGUAUUACUAGACUUAUGUCUACCUAGAUUGGACCUAAAAUUCCCAUUAUCUUAAUAAUUAUUGACUUGAUUUGUAAAAUGAUGGUAGAUUAGUGCAAUUUGAUUGAAUCUGAUUUCUUUUUGUUUUGGGGACUAAAAGUUCAUGUCUUUUUUGUUGUUCAACCGUUG
rnacentral:rRNA from 1 species